GAAGCUCAGUGGAAAAACCUCUGCUUUGCAUGCAAAAGACCCCAGAUUCAAUUCCUGGCAUCUCCA
rnacentral:tRNA from 1 species